GAUGAACGCUAGCUACAGGCUUAACACAUGCAAGUCGAGGGGUAACGAGAGGAAAGCUUGCUUUCCUUGUCGACGACCGGCGCACGGGUGAGUAACGCGUAUCCAACCUGCCCCCAACUAGGGAAUAACCUUGCGAAAGUAAGACUAAUACCCUAUAAUUUCCUCAGAUGUCAUCUGACGAGGAAUAAAGAUUUAUCGGUUGGGGCUGGGGAUGCGUCUGAUUAGCUUGUUGGCGGGGUAACGGCCCACCAAGGCAACGAUCAGUAGUGGUUCUGAGAGGAAGGUCCCCCACAUUGGAAAUGAGACACGGCCCAAACGCCUACGGGAGGCAGCAGUGAGGAAUAUUGGUCAAUGGGCGGAAGCCUGAACCAGCCAAGUAGCGUGCAGGAUGACGGCCCUAUGGGUUGUAAACUGCUUUUAUACAGGAAUAAAGUUAGCCACGUGUGGUUAUUUGUAGGUACUGUAUGAAUAAGGACCGGCUAAUUCCGUGCCAGCAGCCGCAGUAA
rnacentral:rRNA from 1 species